UCUUCCUUGGUCUAGUGGUCAUGAUUUCCGCUUGUCACUGCAACUGAUAAGCGCGGGAGACCGGGGUUCGAUUCCCCGAGGGAGAG
rnacentral:tRNA from 2 species